rnacentral:misc_RNA from 1 species
GUCUAUAAUAUCUAUGCUGUAAUCCAGCUUGUAAUCCCUGGUAAUCCAAGUAAUCCAGCUUGUAAUCCCUGGUCCGGUAAUCCAAAGAAUCUACCUAUAAUCUUGGUAAUCCACUCAUAAUCUUGGAAUUCUCCUGGUAAUUCAAAAAGAUUUUCUUCCCGUUGCGAACCCCUCGUUACCAACUUGCCAAGUUGCCAGCAUGACUUUUUAUAGUAAAGCAGGUGCAAUUGCUGAAGCUCUGUUGGACCGAGCAAGUGCUGAACAGAUUGUGUUUAAUGAUAAGAAGACAGAAUUCCUGGAGGACGAGACUAAUAAGAAGCCUCUAGAUCAAGUAAGCUCGCACAAUAAUGGAGACACGCCCAUCACACCAAAGGAUUUUUACUGGGACCAGAUCCUCCUUUAUCUGGUGUCGGCUAUUCUGGGUCUGAGUUUCUUAAAUACAACUGUAGAAUUUUUCAGAGGGUCUACAAUACAUUGUUAUAUUUCUGAUACUGGUACUUCUCUUGAUCAAGUGACAUAUCUUAAUAACUACUGCUAUAGUAGUUUACCCAACAGUCAGCAUUAUCUAAUAUUUACACUAAUAUCUGCUCUUAUUAUUAUCGCACCGCAUUAUUUGUGGGCAUCUUAUUUUGGAGCUUAUUUUGAUUUUUUUUUUGACUUGACAAAAAAGCUUCAUCGUCUUCGAGACACCAAAACUGGCGAAUAUAAUUCGUAUAAUUUUGAACUUGUUAAGAAACUGGAGCAGAAGUUUUCUUCAAAUCCAUGGAUGUUCCGUUGGUAUAAGCUAAAGCUCUUAACUCAUUUAGUGACGUGUACAAUAUUUGAAAUCGUUAAUGCUUUUUACUUUGAGGCAGAUGAUUUUAACAAGUCAUUUCCCUGUCCAGCAGACAGUAGUAUUCUCAAUACUACAGUCUGGCCACUACCCGAGCAGCUCAACUGUGUUUACAAUAGUCUGACGUUACUUUAUUUCCUACGUAACACUGCACUUGGUUUAGUUGCUGCUGCUAUAGUAGUGAUUAUGAUUGGACUUGUUUGGUGUUUUCUACCUCAUACAACUGAGCUUGGUGCUAAAGACAUUGCUGCAUUUUGUGAUUUCUCUUGCCUGCCUCCUGAAGAAUAUACUUUUCCUUCUCUUUGGAAAGUUGUGCUCUCAAUUUUUUCUUGUGCUGGAGAAGAACGAAUAUGGUCAACUUCAAAUGUCAAGCAAGUAUUUUCUCCACGCAUACACACAGAUCUUGAUUUUCUAGUAACUCGAUUGUUUUAUUCUGAUUCUGGUCAUGGACAAGUAUUCAAAGAAAUUCAAAUAUUGAAAGAGUUGGAAUACAGAAGCAUACAAGAUCACAAGCUAAUGUAUCUUUUGAACAUGAUUUAUGAAAAAUAUUUGAUAAAUAAAGGAGGUUUUGCAACAGAGUGUGCAAAAAUGAGCUUUCUUCAAGAACAUUAUAAAGAUAUUCAAGCAUAUUUUCUUAAAACUCAUAGUUUUGAUGAAAACAAUAUUGAGCAGUCACUGUAUUUUGAAUUUAAGAAGGGAAGUGGUGCAAAUGAAACAAAUUGCCACGGGUCUUGCUCUACAUUUAAAAGUGAAAUUUUUCGCUUUUUCCGAUUUGCUCCAAGAAAAAAAUGUGCAUUAGACAUUUCUUUUGGCAAUAGAAGAGGUCAUUCACUUAUACUGGCAAGAGCAUUCAGUGAAUCACUGACAAUACAUUUCAAUAAGUACUACAAAGAUUUUGAAGAAGUGUGUCAUAAAAAUGACUAUCAUGCAAACUAUUACACACUGACUCUUCAAAAUGACAUUUAUGGACAAAAUGCUGACAGUAAUGCAAAGUCUGAUAUUCCUAUUGUUCAAUUCUUAAAAUCCGAAGAUGAAAUAAGAACAAUAGAUCUCAUUACAGUAGGACCAAUCACAGAAUAUUCUGAUAUAAUAACAAGCAAAAUAAGUAUUUCACCAAGAAAGCUAUUCUGCUUGCAAUACGUCCAUUAGAGAUAGGAUUUGAGCAGCGUUCAGAGCAUUUUAUACAAUAUAUACCUCCUCAAAGAAUAUUUAAAUGUCACAGUGAACCAACCGAGAAAGAUUUUGUUGUUGAAUGCAACAAUGUACAAUGUGUUUAUGAGUUUAAGAUGUAUUG